GAGAUGUGGCAGACAUCCUGCAGGCACACAGGGAGCCCUGCCACUAGCAUUGCAAAGGAGGGUCGAACUUCUUCAUGCUCCAAAAUCCAGACCUUGCGAGGACCGUUGUUGAAGUGCUGGUAGGGGAAGGCUGAUGAUGUGCGGCAAAGCCUGGUGCCAUCUGCCUUCAAUACACGGCAGACUCUUCCUGAUAGCACUGCUGCAUAGCAUCCUGCAGCUGACAACCAAUCUGAGUACCAAGAGUGGAAAAAGAGGUGGCCUGGGACUGCAGCACUGAAGAUCGGCAAUACUCUAUGAGCUCUUCUGCCAACAACAGCCCUGGUUUCUCAGUGCUGCUGCUCCUGGGGAGACACACAAGCUGUUAGCCUGACUUUGGCAACCCAGUGGCUGGAGCAAAGUGCAGUGUUUCUUGGGCUGCAGCCACAUCAUGGUCUGAUUGUGGGUAGUGAUAUCCCUCUGCAGAGGCAAGGCUGCUCAUAUCAGAGGCACUGAGAUCUGUCAGGGAGGUGCUGAGCCAGCAUGGGCACCAGCUGUCUUCUCUGGUGAGAACAGUGUCCAGAGGUACACACAGAAUGCUGAGGCAGAGAAAAACAGCACAGCAAGGAGGAAGGAUGCUGUCAAAUUGCCGCAGUUCUUGCUUCCAUGAGGCCAGUUGCUCUGAGCCAGAGUCUGGAUUCAUGACCCAAAGGAUGCAUGAGGAUCCCUAUUCAGAAAAUGCAAAGGAGAUUGUUCCUGUCACCAACGCUGACAACAUCUCCCUGGGAGACAAGUCUCUGAUGGAUGUGACCCCCUGGUUGGUGCCUCAUGUGAUGUUCCAUCUCCUGCUUCUGCUUCCACCCACGCUCCCCUCUCACAUGUACCAUGCGCUGCUGAGGGUUCUCUCGUGGAAGGCCAGGGGCUCAGCCUCCUCAGCAAGCCAGCAAUGUCUGAAUAGGAGACGAAUAGCAGAUAAGGCCUAAACCUUGCACUUCUGUGUGAAUAAUACUGAACUUCGCCAGCGGCAUGGCAGAGCCAUAUGCAUGGCAGCAACCUAAGGGAGAAAAAGGAAAGGAUAGACUUCUACUGAGAAGCAUCUGAAAGGAUUUCAUCACCAGAUACACUAUUGCUUUCUUCAUGCUUCAUUUCUUCACCAUGAAGAAAAAGGAAAAGAAAAGCACUGAGAGGCUUGGGGCUGAAAAUUCUUUCUGAUUCCUAAGAUAGCUUUCCUGUACAAAAAUUU
rnacentral:lncRNA from 1 species